AAAAAAUGUGUUUGAGUUUUUCCAUACCAUCUUAUGGAAAAACUUGAAUGAACCUUUUGG
ensembl:miRNA